rnacentral:rRNA from 1 species
UUAGGAAUAUUGGACAAUGGGCGCAAGCCUGAUCCAGCCAUGCCGCGUGAGUGAUGAAGGCCUUCGGGUUGUAAAGCUCUUUAGCCGACGAAUAUAAUGACUGUAGUCGGAGAAUAAGCCCCGGCUAACUUCGUGCCAGCAGCCGCGGUAAUACGAAGGGGGCGAGCGUUAUUCGGAAUCACUGGGCGUAAAGCGUGCGUAGGCUGUUUUGUAAGUCAGAAGUGAAAGCCCAGGGCGUAACCCUGGAAUUGCUUUUGAAACUACAAGACUCGAAUUCGGGAGAGGAUAGCGGAAUUGUCAGUGUAGCAGUGAAAUGCGUAGAUAUUGGGAGGAACACCAGUGGCGAAGGCGGCUUACUGGACUGUAACUGACGUUGAGGCUCGAAAGCGUGGGGAGCAAACA